rnacentral:rRNA from 1 species
CGCGUAGGCGGACUGCCAGGUCCGGGGUGAAAUCCUUCAGCUCAACUGGAGAACGGCCCCGGAUACUGGCGGUCUCGAGGAGGGUAGGGGCAAGCGGAACUAUGGGUGGAGCGGUGAAAUGCGUUGAUAUCCAUAGGAACUCCGGUGGCGAAGGCGGCUUGCUGGACCCUUUCUGACGCUGAGGCGCGAAAGCCAGGGGAAGGCAAACG